rnacentral:rRNA from 1 species
CAGUAGCCACGGUAAUACGAACCGUGCGAACGUUAUUCAGAAUCACUGGGCUUAAAGCGCGUGUAGGCGGGCCGCCACGUCGGCUGCUGAAAUCCCCCGGCUCAACCGGGGAAGUGGCACCGAUACGAGCGGCCUCGAGGGGGGUAGGGGGCACUGGAACUUCCGGUGGAGCGGUGAAAUGCGUUGAGAUCGGAAGGAACGCCCGUGGCGAAAGCGAGUGCCUGGACCCUUUCUGACGCUGAGACGCGAAAGCCAGGGGAGCGAACGGGAUUAGAUACCCCUGUAGUCCCUGUCUCUUAUA